rnacentral:rRNA from 1 species
GAUGAACGCUGGCGGCGUGCCUAAUACAUGCAAGUCGAGCGAACAGACGAGGAGCUUGCUCCUCUGACGUUAGCGGCGGACGGGUGAGUAACACGUGGAUAACCUACCUAUAAGACUGGGAAAACUUCGGGAAACCGGAGCUAAUACCGGAUAAUAUAUUGAACCGCAUGGUUCAAUAGUGAAAGACGGUUUUGCUGUCACUUAUAGAUGGAUCCGCGCCGCAUUAGGUAGUUGGUAAGGUAACAGCCUAUCAAGGCAACGAUGCGUAGCCGACCUGAGAGGGUGAUCGGCCACACUGGAGCUGAGCCACGGACCAGGCUCCUACGGGAGGCAGCAGUAUGGAAUCUUCCGCAAUAGGCGGAAGCCUGGCAGAGCAAGGCCGAGUGAGUGACGAAGGUCUUCCGAUCGUAAAACCCUGUUAUUAGGGAAGAACAAAUGUGUAAGUAACUAUGCACGUCUUGACGGUACCGAAUCAGAAAGCCACGGCUAACUACGUG